AAGUCGUAACAAGGUAACCGUAGGUGAACCUGCGGUUGGAUCAUUAACAAAAUACUUGCCCGUUCGCUUUCCCUUGGGAUUAAGCAAGAGUAAAGACACCAUAUGUGAACCUGUAGAGUGCCUUUUGGCAACGGAUCUCUAGGCUCUU
rnacentral:misc_RNA from 1 species